AACGCUAUACCGCUCUCUCCCUCCAAACGGAUUGGCGCGUGUAGAUCGCCCUCCUCUCGAUCUGCUCCGGCAGCCCCCUGCCUGCGCCCUUCCCCGGUACAUCCAUAGACCUAAAAGCCCCCCAUUCUUUUUCCCUCUACCUUCCCUGUUCUAUUGAUCCCGGAGGUGCGUCCAUCCCUUCAUAGAUUUCUGAGAGAAAUGAGACGACCGCAGUCCUUCCUUUCGCUCCACAGGUUGGUUACCUCUCCUCGUGUGGGUUUGUUAGGAUCGCUGGUUGGCCAUCCCACUGUUAGGUAUGCGAAGUUCUUCCAAAAUAUGAAACCUUUUCUUCUCUGUUCGUUGAUUGUAUGGCAAAUAUUUCUCUUUUUCUUUUAGAAUUCGAGUAUUGGUCGAUAUAACGAAAUUGGUAUUGAUAUUUGAUAGGAGAAAUUGUGAAAGAUGGCUUGUGCAAGACACAGGGCGUCGUUCAGGGGGGAUCACUGUCUAAGAUGAUGUAGGUUUCCUCUAUUCCCAGUUGAUCUUUGCGAAGUGAAUGGUUAGGCGACCUAUUCUGAAGGAAAGAGAAAAAAAAUACUAUCAUGUUGUGUAUAAACUGUGUUUUACUAAAAUCAAUCAAAUACCUUCAUCUCUGAAAUUUAUGAUGUUUAAUGAGGCAGACAACCCUUUUUUUUUUCCUGAUUGGGAUGCAUACGUAUGCAGAGUUUCUUCUGACUCUGUUUUGAAUGUUAAAGGACUCAAAAAGGAGAACUUUACAUGAUUCAUCAAUGCCUCUUCCAUCUUGCUACAAUUUGUUUGCCUACUAAAGUUUUUCCACAUUUAUCUACUAAUACAGAAAUGAACUUUGGUUCUUCCUAGAUGUCUCCUACGUAUUUUGAGAUGACACCUAAAUUAUGCAUUUUUUCUUCGGUGUUCAUUUUCAUAGGGUGUGUUAACGAACAAAUAUAUCGAUGAGUCAGCACAGUUAGAUCCGCGGGUCGAUGUCAGAAGCUUUCUGUAGAGUGAGCUAGAUGAUGAGAUAGCCGCACCCUCAGAAAGGAGUGAUGGUUGACGUUGGUCUGGAUCUGGGCCGAUUGACAGCUCUCCGUUGCGCGGUGAAUGGCGUUGCUUGGGUUGAGACGCUUGUCGCUCGCAGGUGAUCGUUCGCUUGUAAAAAAUGGCUCUCGUCGGGUGAUCCUCGGCUUUGACCCCUCCGAUGAGCAAGUCAGUGUGGGUGGAUUAUUUUUUUUUUUAUGUCUCUCUCCCCUCGGUCAGAUGCCGGCUAAAGGUCUUUAUAUUACUGUACGUGGGUCGGUCGUACGCGGGUUGACGUGGUGGACGUGCUAAAUAGUGUCUUGGUAUGGAUUAUGACAGCGUAUCUUGGGGGUGACGCUGUCUCGGGAUUCCCGAAACGUGACGUACCAAGCAGCGUCUUAGUACGGUUUCUGAUUUAGCGUUUCUUGGGGGUGACGUCGUCCCGGGAUUUCCGGGACGAGAUGUGCCGAGCAACGCCUUAAUACAGAUUCUGACUUGGAGUGUGACAUUGGUUGUAAUAUGUCUUGGACCUAAAAUAUAAUCAGGAUGCUUACCGAAUUGUCUUUUAAGUUGGCUUUUUGCAAGGGCCACUAACAUGUCAUUUCUUUGUUGAAACUCUAUUCUUGGCUGCUUCAAGGUGAUAUUGCAAUCCCCAAAAAGAAUACUCUGUUGGUCAUCCGGAAAAUUCAAGUUAAUAGUAUGUUAAAUAUUGGUCUAAGUGUUAGAUAUCUGGUUAACCUGUGGGGGUCCUGAUGCAAAGUUGUCAAUCUCUUAUGGUCCCAAGCAUGUGACUGAGCUCCUUAAAACUCCUUUCUUAAUCUGGUGUGAUGGAUUCACUUAUCUAAUUCAAUUAUCUCUUUAUCAUAGUGUUCUUAAAGACUGUCCCAUAUGAGUAAUAUGCAUCAGAAAGCUUCAGGUAUCAUAGUUAAAAAACUGUUUGACGUGGAUUAGGUCCAUUAAUGAUGAUCAUUGGCAGUUUGUGCUCAAGAAUGUUACAUUGUUGGAUUUCUCUCUCUUUGUUGUUAUCUGGCACUACCCAACAACAUAUCAUAAUUGGAACAUUUGUUUGGAAGUUUGACCUGUUGAUCAUCCUUGUCCUGUAACACAAACGUUCAAGUAUUCAAGAACUGUAGCAUUGCCUUUUUCGAUGAUUUCAUUUGUAGUUGUGUUGCUUGUCAUUAAUAACUUAUAAUGUGUGUUUUCCCUUGAAUGUUCACAUAGGUACUAUUAAUAAGAGUAAAAUGCAUGGGAAUGAUAAUGAUUUUUAUUGUGAUGCAAACAGCCUUAAGGAUAACCCUUUUUUCACUAUGUAAGAUUUGCACAUAUGCUUUUUCUGCAGAUUUUGGUAAACAUCGUCUUUUUCUUGCAUAGUAAAGAUUGUAAUUUAAUAGUACAUGGUAAUCUAUCCCUUUCAGGUCAUCACACACACAGAGAGAGAGAGAGAGAGAGAGAGAGAGAGAGCAUCAAGAUCAGUGUGGACAAGGUGGAAAUUGCAAGAUUAGUCUUUGCCAUAUACAAAGCACAAUUAAAGGCUUUUCUUGAAUAAUGUGCUAUUAAUGAUGGACAAAAUGUCAGGAUCAGCAACACAAUUCUUGGCCAUUUUGGUAAAAGCUUGCAGUAAGGUAAGAAAAUCUCAUCUCAAACUCCUUCAGGUUUACCUGUCAAAUGAGGUGGCUAUCCACCCACAAUUAUCCACCUCACCACAUGUAUUUUGCAAAACAAGUGUGACCCAAACAAAACAAAUCAAUAUGUUGGAAAGUAUAAUUUGUGGACUCAGCUAUAUCAAUAGAAAAAGAGAUUUGGAAAUACAACAACAAGCAUCUUUAUCAUUCUAUCAAUUAUCAAUUCUCACUUUUGUCUCAUGGAAGAGGAAAUGUGAAACUUCUGUGGAAGCUCCACAAGCUAGCUUAAUCCUUCAUGAUUGAUAUCAAUACAAGUAAUGCAGUUAGUAUUACUACAUUUUAGGUCAUAUGAAAGAAAACUAAUACAGCUCACCAUAAUCUUAGCAAAUUUGAGACAUACAAAAGCAUCUGUUAGUCCACAUACCCAACAGGAAACUGAGCUCAUUAAGGAACACUAGUGACCAACUUUUGCUUCAAUCAAAAGCUUUCUCAAAACAAAGAACAAAGCAACACUUGCAGAUAUGACACAGAGCUUAUAAGAAUAAGAGAAGAGAAACUUCGAAAUUUGCUUGUUUUGUCUUCCUAUCAAAGUGAGGAGACUUUCACAAAAUAGCAAAUAUAAUUUUGUGCCCACCCAAUUACAAACAUCAUUUGAUAGAGAAGCUCGGUUCAUACCUUUGUGAUACAUACUGCAAAAGCAAACUCUACAUCAAACAAAAAUAUUGAUUCCUAGAAAAAGAUGAAUGAACGAAUUCACGUGAAACACAGCAAACUGAGCACCACAAAUUGUCAAUUAUUUUAGGUCAAAAGUUUCGAUGAUGCAUAAGAAAUACAGAAAAGGAUUAAAUUCCCAUAUUGUGCUUUUAAUUAUCUGCAUCUCCUAAACAAACCUUCACAGCUGCUCAUGAUAGUUCGUGUUUGUUGAGCAACACAGGAGGCUGCCGGUUUCACUUCAAUCUGGAGAAAAUCUGGAGGAAUCAAACAUCAGUGCUAUGUCUCCGAAGUCUCUGCAAUGGUGGACAAUCUAUCAUUC
rnacentral:lncRNA from 1 species